rnacentral:tRNA from 1 species
UAUCUAUUAGGAUAAUUAUAGUCUAUAGAAUUCAUAUUUCUAAGGUUAAUAGGUUU